rnacentral:rRNA from 1 species
UACGGGGGGGGCAAGCGUUGUUCGGAAUUACUGGGCGUAAAGGGCUCGUAGGUGGCCAACUAAGUCAGACGUGAAAUCCCUCGGCUUAACCGGGGAACUGCGUCUGAUACUGGAUGGCUUGAGUUCGGGAGAGGGAAGCGGAAUUCCGGGUGUAGCGGUGAAAUGCGUAGAUAUCCGGAGGAACACCGGUGGCGAAGGCGGCUUCCUGGACCGAUACUGACGCUGAGGCGCGAAAGCCAGGGGAGCAAACGGG